rnacentral:lncRNA from 1 species
AAAAACAGAGUGUUCAUUUAGUUGCAUCACAUUUAGGAUUGAGUCUAGUAUGUUUCAUAUAGGAUUGUUGCAUAUGCAUAGGGGAUUAUGAUGAGAUAGCCUUGUAAGCAUGUUGGUUCAGUAGAUAGACUCAAUGCCCUCGUUGCUAGUUGUCUGAUGCGUAGUCAAUGAAAUUGAAGUAAAACUGCACCAUGUCUUGAAUGCUCUACUCGAUCACACUGUCAUGAUUUGAUACCAUUCCCUAUCAAUUUGAACUUGAACCUGAUUUACAAUUAUCAUGUCUUAGCAUCAAAUUUAAACUCAUGGAUACCAUAUACAUACUUGGGUUUUCUUUCAACUUUUCACCACCCUUGCUAACCCAAGUAGCUGCUUCCACCAUAGAAGCAGUUUCCCUAGCCCUUAACCAAAACUUUCUUUUAAGCCCUGUAAUAUCUCGUGUGUGAUUGUGAGGCCUGUUUCAGGAUUGAGCUUGGUAGAAAGUUUU